GAUGAACGCUGGCGGCGUGCCUAAUACAUGUGAGUCGAGCGAACAGACGAGGAGCUUGCUCCUCUGACGUUAGCGGCGGACGGGUGAGUAACACGUGGAUAACCUACCUAUAAGACUGGGAUAACUUCGGGAAACCGGAGCUAAUACCGGAUAAUAUAUUGAACCGCAUGGUUCAAUAGUGAAAGACGGUUUUGCUGUCACUUAUAGAUGGAUCCGCGCCGCAUUAGCUAGUUGGUAAGGUAACGGCUUACCAAGGCAACGAUGCGUAGCCGACCUGAGAGGGUGAUCGGCCACACUGGAACUGAGACACGGUCCAGACUCCUACGGGAGGCAGCAGUAGGGAAUCUUCCGCAAUGGGCGAAAGCCUGACGGAGCAACGCCGCGUGAGUGAUGAAGGUCUUCGGAUCGUAAAACUCUGUUAUUAGGGAAGAACAAAUGUGUAAGUAACUAUGCACGUCUUGACGGUACCUAAUCAGAAAGCCACGGCUAACUACGUG
rnacentral:rRNA from 1 species